rnacentral:rRNA from 1 species
AUGACUCCAUGUAGCUGCGCUAUGCUACCCCCGUGCUCCGUCGAUUUCAAACUCUCAUGUGUGCACUGCCUUGAAUCAACCCUGCGCCAUAAUCUUGUCGAAGCCGCACAAGCCCUCAGGGCCUGCGCCACGUGUUUCCACGCCCAAAAGUCGGUCACCAUCAGCAUCACUGUCGCCGAUCCCACACCGUCUUCUGUUCCAACCGACUCACGUCGAUCCGUCAGACUAUCUAGUCCGACCCAGCCAAACUUGUUCGACUGCAACGACACACUCGAGGCUUCCAAAUCGUCUUCCAUGAAUUUCCAUCCAUCACAUGAUAAUUCCAUCUUAGCUGGCAUGACUUCCCGCAACGCUUUCAAGCAUCUCUGUGGUGCCAACAAUUUUUUCAUUCGUGUCUGCCAUAACCCAAGGUUUUCAGUUCCGUGA